CAAAGAUUCAAUUCUCGAAUUUAGAGUUCCUCACAGGGAUAGCAUCCAAAUUCCGAUCGAAACAUGUUGAGACUAAAUCGAUUCAUAAAACACACCAAUAACUCAACCAGAGCUUCACUCCUCUUACGUCAAAAACAGCAACAAGAAGAGAGGUUCUUUGAUCCUCUGCCUUCUAUGCGUUUCUUCCAAAUGACCUCCAAUCGCUUCCUUGACAUUUACCAGCUUGGAAACAAAGCAGCUAUUGAGAAAGAGCGUGCAAGGCUUAAAGAUGAGAUGAAUAGGGGUUAUUUUGCUGAUAUGGCAGAGCUCAAGCAACAUGGUGGUAAGAUUGCAAUGGCAAAUAAAAUUAUAAUUCCUGCAAUGGCAGCCGUGAAGUUUCCAAACUUAGAAGUGAGCUUUUCUGAUGGUAAAACUUUAAAGUUGCCUUUUGGGUCCAAUAGAAAUGUGGCUGAUGCUGAGUCAUCAACUAUUCCUAAAGCAUCUUUACUGUGUCUUUCAUUUCGAGCCAGCUCUCAGGCCAUGAUUGACUCCUGGACCAUGCCUUUCAUCGAUACAUUUCACGAUGCGAAAUAUAUUCAUCUGUAUGAGGUGUCAUUUAUAGACUCAUGGCUCCUAUGUCGGAAUCCAAUCAAGAAGUUCCUGCUUCGGAUAAUGAGGAAAUCCAUUACUGACGGAAACAAUGAACUUCAAAAGCAGAUUGGUUAUUCUUUUGGUGACCAUUAUUACUUUAGAAAAGAACUUAAAAUACUGAACCUUCUUACUGGGUACAUUUUCCUACUUGACAAAUUUGGUAGAAUAAGAUGGCAAGGCUUUGGAUUGGCUACAAAAGAGGAGUUGUCCUCCCUCCUUUCUUGCACAUCAUUACUUUUGGAAGAGAAAUGAGGUAGUUGGUGCAUAUUGUUUGACCUUGACUUUUUUUAAAUGAUCUUUGAUCCAAUGGUCUUGGAACCUGAGGUGUAUCAAAAUUCUACCAA
rnacentral:misc_RNA from 1 species